UGAGAUGUUCGGUUAAGUCCGCUAACGAGCGCAACCCUCGCUGUAUGUUACAUGUGUCAUACAGGACCGCCGGUAUCAAGCCGGAGGAAGGUGGGGAUGACGUCAAGUCCGCAUGGCCUUUAUGUCCGGGGCUACACACACGCUACAAUGGUCGGUACAAUGGGUUGCUAAGCCGCGAGGUGGAGCCAAUCCCCCAAAGCCGGCCUCAGUUCAGAUUGCAGGCUGCAACUCGCCUGCAUGAAGCUGGAGUUGCUAGUAAACGCGCGUCACGCUACUAGUGCGGUUAGAAUAACGGUUCUCGGGCCGUU
rnacentral:rRNA from 1 species